rnacentral:rRNA from 1 species
UGGGGAAUUUUGGACAAUGGGGGAAACCCUGAUCCAGCCAUUCCGCGUGUGCGAUGAAGGCCUUCGGGUUGUAAAGCACUUUUGGCAGGAAAGAAAUCGCAUGGAUUAAUACUCUGUGCGGAUGACGGUACCUGCAGAAUAAGCACCGGCUAACUACGUGCCAGCAGCCGCGGUAAUACGUAGGGUGCAAGCGUUAAUCGGAAUUACUGGGCGUAAAGCGUGCGCAGGCGGUUCGGAAAGAAGGAUGUGAAAUCCCAGGGCUUAACCUUGGAACUGCAUUCUUAACUACCGGGCUAGAGUGUGUCAGAGGGAGGUGGAAUUCCGCGUGUAGCAGUGAAAUGCGUAGAUAUGCGGAGGAACACCGAUGGCGAAGGCAGCCUCCUGGGACAACACUGACGCUCAUGCACGAAAGCGUGGGGAGCAAACAGG